UAAUUUACUGGUUGAUCUCAUUAACCUUUUCAGAUCACCCAACAAUGGGUAUAAACCAUAAGGGGGUCUCUUCUGUUGGAAGCUAAUCUUCAACUAGAAGAACAUCUAAGCUGCCAUAGCAACUCUCUCUAUGAGCCUCGUAACUAGGUGGAGAUAGCAAUAAAAUUUUAUUGGGGAGAAACACAAAGAGAACUGGUGACCCUCUAACGCCCUCCCUGGCAGGAAGUGCUUCACGUAAUUCCUCAGCAGCCAAACUCACUCCUACCACUUGGUGGGGCCGAAUAACCUCUCGGUUCGAACCUCGCGUUGGGGGCCAUAUUGACCCACAAACCCCCUUACUUGGGCAACGUGAUGGUGUUGGUUCCUGGUCGUCGAUGCGCGCUAAGUGUCGUCUGAUUGGACAUCACAGAAUCCGCUGUUCCAGAGUGUGAAAGAGAUCUUCCAGGAAUUUUAUUUGUGAUCAUAAAGGACCGAUGUUGUCUGCCCUUCAACGAGACAUCAUCGGAGUUUGUCUAUUUCUAUGUGUGUGGUGCUUAUAUAUAUACAUGCUGUUGCUGCCAGAAAUAUUACAAGCCUGAGCGAAAACUUCUUGCGAUUAGAAACUGAAUGUUGCCAACAUUGUGGGCGUGUCCUUGGACAAAACAAUUAACGACAAACACUGACAAUAUUUCGACCUAAAAUUGCCACAAGAUCUUCAUUAUAUUUAUUUCAAUAAUAUAUAUUUGUAUUAUAUUUCUAUGUUUAUAAACUAUCACGUUUAGUUUAAAUAUCUUCAGAACAAUAGAAAUCAAAUAAAGGAACCCCAACAGCUUGAAA